ACGGGAGGCAGCAGUCGGGAAUAUUGCGCAAUGGAGGAAACUCUGACGCAGUGACGCCGCGUAUAGGACGAAGGUCUUCGGAUUGUAAACUAUUGUCGUUAGGGAGGAAAAAGGACAGUACCUAAGGAGGAAGCUCCGGCUAACUACGUGCCAGCAGCCGCGGUAAUACGUAGGGAGCAAGCGUUAUCCGGAUUUAUUGGGUGUAAAGGGUGCGUAGACGGGAAUUUAAGUUAGUUGUGAAAUCCCUCGGCUCAACUGAGGAACUGCAACUAAAACUGGAUUUCUUGAGUACUGGAGAGGAAAGCGGAAUUCCUAGUGUAGCGGUGAAAUGCGUAGAUAUUAGGAGGAACACCAGUGGCGAAGGCGGCUUUCUGGACAGCAACUGACGUUGAGGCACGAAAGUGUGGGGAGCAAACAGGAUUAGAUACCCUGGUA
rnacentral:rRNA from 1 species